AGUGGGGGAUAACGUAGCGAAAGUUACGCUAAUACCGCAUAUGCCCUGAGGGGGAAAGGAGGGGAUCCGCAAGGACAAAUCGCUUUCGGAGUGGCCGAUAUCAGAUUAGCUAGUUGGUGAGGUAAAGGCUCACCAAGGCGACGAUCUGUAGCGGGUCUGAGAGGAUGAUCCGCCACACUGGGACUGAGACACGGCCCAGACUCCUACGGGAGGCAGCAGUGGGGAAUUUUGGACAAUGGGGGCAACCCUGAUCCACCCGUGCCGCGUGAGUGAAGAAGGCCUUCGGGUUGUAAAGCUCUUUCACCCGGAAAGAAAUCGCCACUCUUAAUACGAGUGGUGGAUGACGGUACCGGAAGAAGAAGCACCGGCUAACUACGUGCCAGCAGCCGCGGUAAUACGUAGGGUGCGAGCGUUAAUCGGAAUUACUGGGCGUAAAGCGUGCGCAGGCGGUUUUGUAAGACAGGCGUGAAAUCCCCGGGCUUAACCUGGGAACUGCGUUUGUGACUGCAAGGCUAGAGUGUGGCAGAGGGGGGUAAAAUUC
rnacentral:rRNA from 1 species